UAAUCAUGAGAUAUGGGCCUGUUGAAUUUGAAAAUAAGAGAGAGAAAGAUAAUGAUGACAAGUCAUCUUUAGAAAAUGUUAGCGAUGUUGAGUUUGCUAAGGAUGAUAUGUUAGUUGUACAAAUAAUGGUUGCCUUGUGGUUAACUAAGUGUGCGUUGUAAAGAAGGAUCCUUUAACCAUUAAUUAAUAAUGUGACUUGAGCUGUAAAA
rnacentral:lncRNA from 1 species